rnacentral:rRNA from 1 species
GACGAACGCUGGCGGCGUGCUUAACACAUGCAAGUCGAACGGUGAAGGGACCAGCUUGCUGGUUCUGGAUGAGUGGCGAACGGGUGAGUAACACGUGAGUAACCUGCCCCCUUCUUCUGGAUAACCGCAUGAAAGCGUGGCUAAUACGGGAUAUUCUGGGUCUGUCGCAUGGCGGGCCCGGGAAAGAUAUUGCUUCGGUGGGGGAUGGGCUCGCGGCCUAUCAGCUUGUUGGUGGGGUGAUGGCCUACCAAGGCGGUGACGGGUAGCCGGCAUGAGAGGGUGGACGGUCAGACUGGGACUGAGACACGGCCUAGAAUGCUACGGGAGGCAGGAGUGGGGAAGAUUGCGCGAUGGGGGCAAGCCUGAUGCAGCGGCGCCGCGUGAGGGAGGGAGGCCUUCGGGUUGUAAACCUCUUUCGCAAGUGAAGCAGGCCUGCUCCUUGUGGGUGGGUUGACGGUAGCUGGAUAAGAAGCGCCGGCUAACUACGUG